rnacentral:rRNA from 1 species
UGGGGAAUUUUGGACAAUGGGCGCAAGCCUGAUCCAGCCAUGCCGCGUGAGUGAAGAAGGCCUUCGGGUUGUAAAGCUCUUUCGGCGGGGAAGAAAUCGCAUUCUCUAAUACAGGAUGUGGAUGACGGUACCCGAAUAAGAAGCACCGGCUAACUACGUGCCAGCAGCCGCGGUAAUACGUAGGGUGCGAGCGUUAAUCGGAAUUACUGGGCGUAAAGCGUGCGCAGGCGGUUUUGUAAGUCAGAUGUGAAAUCCCCGGGCUCAACCUGGGAACUGCAUUUGAGACUGCAAGGCUAGAGUGUGGCAGAGGGGGGUGGAAUUCCACGUGUAGCAGUGAAAUGCGUAGAGAUGUGGAGGAACACCGAUGGCGAAGGCAGCCCCCUGGGCCAAUACUGACGCUCAUGCACGAAAGCGUGGGGAGCAAACAGG